rnacentral:RNase_P_RNA from 1 species
AAAGUAGAACGGAUAGUCGCUGGUCGUCGCUCUAACCCGCGGGUAGCGACGGCGAGAGGAAAGUCCGGGCUCCACAGGACAGGGCGGUCGGUAACGCCGACCGGUCGUGAGGCUAGGGAAAGUGCAACAGAAAGCAAACCGCCGAAGCCCCAGUUAAAUGGGGCUGGUAAGGGUGAAACGGUGCGGUAAGAGCGCACCAGCAGACGGGGCGACUCGUCUGGCUAGGUAAACCCCGCCCGGAGCAAGGCGAACAGGCAGAAGAACCGCAGCGGCGCAAGUCGCUACGGUUCGCGGUUUCGUCCGAACCGCCACCACUGCCGGGUAUGCUGCUAGAGGCGGCGAGCAAUCGUCGUCGUAGAGGAAUGGCUAUCAGCCGCGCUUGCGCGGUUACAAAACCCGGCUUAUAGUUUUACUUUCGCG